rnacentral:tRNA from 1 species
GUUUUUAUAGUCUAAAAAGAUAUUAAUUUUGUAAAUUAAAGAUAUGAUUUCAUUGAAAACC